rnacentral:rRNA from 1 species
AUUGAACGCUGGCGGCAGGCCUAACACAUGCAAGUCGAACGGUAACAGGAAGCAGCUUGCUGCUUCGCUGACGAGUGGCGGACGGGUGAGUAAUGUCUGGGAAACUGCCUGAUGGAGGGGGAUAACUACUGGAAACGGUAGCUAAUACCGCAUAACGUCGCAAGACCAAAGAGGGGGACCUUAGGGCCUCUUGCCAUCGGAUGUGCCCAGAUGGGAUUAGCUAGUAGGUGGGGUAACGGCUCACCUAGGCGACGAUCCCUAGCUGGUCUGAGAGGAUGACCAGCCACACUGGAACUGAGACACGGUCCAGACUCCUAAGGGAGGCAGCAGUGGGGAAUAUUGCACAAUGGGCGCAAGCCUGAUGCAGCCAUGCCGCGUGUAUGAAGAAGGCCUUCGGGUUGUAAAGUACUUUCAGCGGGGAGGAAGGGAGUAAAGUUAAUACCUUUGCUCAUUGACGUUACCCGCAGAAGAAGCACCGGCUAACUCCGUG